CUUUUCAGAGCUGUCAUAGCAUUUUACUUCUGUUUUCCCUGUGGUGCUUAAUAGAACCCAGAGUACAUAUGACUCGGGCUGGGGUACUGAUUGUAGCAUGUGAUUUUGAAGGUAUCCUGGAGUCAGGUACAAUGGUAACCCCAGGGCUAGAAUGUCCUGCUUCCACAGGGCUCAUCAUACUAAAUUUCUGACUUCUAUCAGCCUUAGGAUUCAAAUUAUUUUUCCUCCAGAGAAGAAAAUUUUACUAACAACAAGAACAACAAUACAUAUAUGCAAUGAAAAGCUACUCCUAUAGGCAUGGAAGUAUCAUGAGGAAAUCUGAGAAAAUUUGCCUGUGGAUGACAAGUCAGAACAGGGAUGACAGUAGAAUAAAGAUGUCAAUUAUGAGGUUAGCAGUCUUUCAGGCAAAAGAGCAGUAGGGCUUGACUUAGGGUGGCAUACUGGGGAUGGCAACAGAGGGAAGGGGAAAGAAUGCACCUAACACCAGCUGGUGAUGGAGCAAUUUAGGCCAAAGGGAAGAAGCAUGGAGGAGGACUUCUUGGUCUCACCGUGGAUUGAGGAGGAAAUGGAAGACAAUGAGGGUCCCUGGGUCAUUUUAAGUUUCAAAUAUAUUGAAUUUAAGUUCUCUGGAGGAUCUUUGGAUAGAUAUUUGGAUGUACUACUUGAAUUGAGGAGAGAAUGAGGAAGCUAGGCAUGCAUUCGCAUAUGAACUGUUACC